rnacentral:rRNA from 2 species
GAGCAACACCGCGUGAGUGAAGAAGGGUUUCGGCUCGUAAAGCUCUGUUGUUAAAGAAGAACACGUGAUGAGAGUAACUGUUCAUACGUUGACGGUAUUUAACCAGAAAGUCACGGCUAACUACGUGCCAGCAGCCGCGGUAAUACGUAGGUGGCAAGCGUUAUCCGGAUUUAUUGGGCGUAAAGAGAGUGCAGGCGGUUUUCUAAGUCUGAUGUGAAAGCCUUCGGCUUAACCGGAGAAGUGCAUCGGAAACUGGAUAACUUGAGUGCAGAAGAGGGUAGUGGAACUCCAUGUGUAGCGGUGGAAUGCGUAGAUAUAUGGAAGAACACCAGUGGCGAAGGCGGCUACCUGGUCUGCAACUGACGCUGAGACUCGAAAGCAUGGGUAGCGAACAGGAUUAGAUACCCUGGUAGUCCAUGCCGUAAACGAUGAGUGCUAGGUGUUGGAGGGUUUCCGCCCCUCAGUGCCGGAGCUAACGCAUUAAGCACUCCGCCUGGGGAGUACGACCGCAAGGUUGAAACUCAAAGGAAUUGACGGGGGCCCGCACAAGCGGUGGAGCAUGUGGUUUAAUUCGAAGCUACGCGAAGAACCUUACCAGGUCUUGACAUCUUGCGC